rnacentral:rRNA from 1 species
UACGUAGGGUGCAAGCGUUAAUCGGAAUUACUGGGCGUAAAGCGUGCGCAGGCGGUUCUAUAAGACAGAUGUGAAAUCCCUGGGCUCAACCCAGGAACUGCACUCGAAACUACUAUUCUUGAGUGUCGGAGAGGAAAGCGGAAUUCCUGGUGUAGAGGUGAAAUUCGUAGAUAUCAGGAGGAACACCAGUGGCGAAGGCGGACUUUCUGGACGAGUAACUGACG